UAAGCGUUACGGAAAUCCUUUUGAAGAAAACACCGACGACAAAAGGUUCAGAUAUACGUAUUCUGAAAAUCCUUCUGAGGAAAACACUGAGGACAGAAGGGAAAAAUAUAAGCGUUACGGAAAUCCUUUUGAGGAAAAUACCGACGACAAAAGUAGCUACAACCACCAGUCACCAUUUACCACCACCGGCCACUACCACCACCGGCAUCGACACCGUCUGCUACAACCAUCGGUCACAGGUGGCAAAUUCUGAAGCUCCCAAAAAUUCACGUCUUAGUAAAUCAUUGGAGGAUGAGAUCAGUUUGGAGUCAGCAGUGACAGAUCAAUAGAACUGUUCCAUGUUGGUCACAUUUCAUUGAUUCUAAAGCAAGGUGCAGGUACGUCACAAGGUUUCUUCUUUUUGUUGGUUCCUCUUUGAAAUAUAAAGUUGAAGGUAUAGUGAUGUAAAUCCUUUACCCUCAAAGAGUCCAGAUACUGUAUUGCUCAGUUGCUUCUUUUGAUUUCACAUAUUUGCACCUUUAGAAACUGAAAUCCUUUUAUGGAAUUUCGUAUUUCAUAUAAAAGCACUUUUCAGCUGUUGUUCUGUUAGCUCAUUAAAUGUGUUUGGUUUGUCAUGUGAUAUCACUACCUCGAUUUAUUGUCUGCUGUUCUUGUGACAGAAAAUGUUGCAUUAACUGUCCAGCUCAUGAGAUGGUUUAUUAUGCAUUUUGAUUUUGAAGCUGAAGUUAUUCUUCUUUUUAAUGUGUUUUACACGCAUGACCUUGAAUGAGUAUGUUUCUAUGUCUGAAUGCGUAUAUGUAUAUAUAUAUAAUUCAAUUACUUUGUUAUUAGAAUUCAUUAAUUAGUGGCAGCAGGCUAUUCUUCAGUCCUUUGGCAGUUGAUUUAUGUUUAAUUUGGGCCCAUUGUCAUAUGGUAAUGGUUAUUUCUGUCCCUUCGAAUCUGCCAUGUGGUUGUGCUUGCCAAUCUAUAAAAAACUGCAUUCAUAAGUAUACUUCUACCCCUGGAUUUACUUCGUUAAGGACCACUGAUGUUGCACUAUAUUUCAGGCAACUAGAUAUGGCACCGAGGGAAGGUGGAAGUGGACGUUCACGGAGAGCUCAAAAUGAACCACUUGCUGAUUCACAGCCACAACAAUCAGCACAACCACAACAAUCCGCACAACUACUCCCACCACCAUAGCUAACUAUAGCAACUAACUUAGGCCCAUCCAGUUCUACACCAGUCACAAGUACACCAUUAUCAUCAUCAACCCCUGCUAGUCCAACUGAAGGUAUUGUAUUCUCAACUACCUCCACUACAACUACAGGCAAUCAAGUAAUCCUUCACCUUGUAGGAAACAAGUUUGGAGCCAUAUAAUUUUGCAAGCAAAAUUACUGAAUCUUUCAUAAAGAAAUUGGAUCUAACUGGUUAUGAAUGGAAGUCUGUGCCUCCAGACACAAAGGACAUGUCUUGGAGGCUGAAUUACGGAGACCCCCACUUCCACAUGAGGUUUUAGAGGUGACACCACUAGAAAGAAGGAUCUGCAAUUCGUGAACCAAGGAGGUUGUUGUAUCUAAAGUUCAAACUGAAUCUCAACCUGAAGAGGGAUCUAAUCAAUCACGCUUGGUUGACGCUACUUAGAUAUUCGUUCAAGAAGUUGGCGGCGUUAAGAAGCAUCGAGUAUACGGUCUCGGUUCACAAGCAUCUAUUUGCUUUGGUCACUCCAGCACCUCUAUCGCUUCUGCUACAUCUCUCCUUCAAGAACAAGAUGGUGAUUGAUGCUCAAAUUCAGGAGACGUUAAAGCAACGAAUGGAAGAGCUGGAGAUGCAACAGGAGUUGCAACAGCAACAACAGUUGAUGCAAGAAAAGUUGCAGCAGCAAUUACAGCAGCAAGUUGCAGAGCUUGUUCGCACUCAUUUCGCACCUACAGUUCCGCCAGCUCCUACUUCACAGCAUCUUUCGUCACAGACUUCUUCAGAUACUCACACUAAUGCUCAGGAUGAUGGUAAUAUCUAGGUAGACUUUAGUUGAUUUGUAUUAAAAGAUAUAAGUUUAUUAGUACCUAUAAGACUUGCAAUUGUUUGUAUUUGUGAAAAAAUUUAUGUUGUCUUAAUAUUUUAUGUAUACUUAAAACUAUUUAAAUGUUAUGUUAACUUUCUCUA